GUAGGUGGCAAGCGUUGUCCGGAAUUAUUGGGCGUAAAGCGCGCGCAGGUGGUUCUUUAAGUCUGAUGUGAAAGCCCCCGGCUCAACCGGGGAGGGUCAUUGGAAACUGGGGAACUUGAGUGCAGGAGAGGAAAGUGGAAUUCCACGUGUAGCGGUGAAAUGCGUAGAUAUGUGGAGGAACACCAGUGGCGAAGGCGACUUUCUGGCCUGUAACUGACACUGAGGCGCGAAAGCGUGGGGAGCAGACAGGGAUUAGAUACCCUGGUAGUCCACGCCGUAAACGAUGAGUGCUAAGUGUGGGGGGGGGUUUCCGCCCCCUCAGUGCUGCAGCUAACGCAUUAAGCACUCCGCCUGGGAGUACGGUCGCAAGACUG
rnacentral:rRNA from 1 species